rnacentral:rRNA from 1 species
GUGGGGAAUAUUGGACAAUGGGCGAAAGCCUGAUCCAGCCAUGCCGCGUGUGUGAAGAAGGUCUUCGGAUUGUAAAGCACUUUAAGUUGGGAGGAAGGGCAGUAAGUUAAUACCUUGCUGUUUUGACGUUACCGACAGAAUAAGCACCGGCUAACUUCGUGCCAGCAGCCGCGGUAAUACGAAGGGUGCAAGCGUUAAUCGGAAUUACUGGGCGUAAAGCGCGCGUAGGUGGUUUUGUAAGUUGGAGGUGAAAUCCCCGGGUUCAAACUGGGAACUGCCUCCAAAACUGCAUGACUAGAGUACGGUAUAGGGUAGUGGAAUUUCCUGUGUAGCGGUGAAAUGCGUAGAUAUAGGAAGGAACACCAGUGGCGAAGGCGACUACCUGGACUGAUACUGACACUGAGGUGCGAAAGCGUGGGGAGCAAACAGGAUUAGAAACCCCUGUAGUCC